rnacentral:rRNA from 1 species
AUUGAACGCUGGCGGCAUGCUUUACACAUGCAAGUCGAACGGUAACAGGCCGCAAGGUGCUGACGAGUGGCGAACGGGUGAGUAAUGCAUCGGAACGUGCCCAGUCGUGGGGGAUAACGCAGCGAAAGCUGCGCUAAUACCGCAUACGAUCUGUGGAUGAAAGCGGGGGACCGUAAGGCCUCGCGCGAUUGGAGCGGCCGAUGUCAGAUUGGAUAGUUGGUGGGGUAAAGGCUCACCAAGCCAACGAUCUGUAGCUGGUCUGAGAGGAAGACCAGCCACACUGGGACUGAGACACGGCCCAGACUCCUACGGGAGGCAGAAGUGGGGAAUUUUGGACAAUGGGCGCAAGCCUGAUCCAGCAAUGCCGCGUGCAGGAAGAAGGCCUUCGGGUUGUAAACUGCUUUUGUACGGAACGAAAAGGCUCUGGUUAAUACCUGGGGCUCAUGACGGUACCGUAAGAAUAAGCACCGGCUAACUACGUGCCAGCAGCCGCCGUAACAC